rnacentral:rRNA from 1 species
UACGGGGGGGGCAAGCGUUGUUCGGAUUCAUUGGGCGUAAAGGGUGCGUAGGCGGCGCGGUAAGUCGGGUGUGAAAUUUCGGAGCUUAACUCCGAAACUGCAUUCGAUACUGCGGUGCUUGAGGACUGGAGAGGAGACUGGAAUUCAUGGUGUAGCAGUGAAAUGCGUAGAGAUCAUGAGGAAGACCAGUGGCGAAGGCGGGUCUCUGGACAGUUCCUGACACUGAGGCACGAAGGCCAGGGGAGCAAACGGG